rnacentral:rRNA from 1 species
UGCCAGCAUCCUCGGUAAUACUGAGUGGGCUAUCGUGGUUCGGAAUUACUGGGCGUAAAGCGCGCGUAGGCGGUUCGCACAGUCAGGCGUGAAAGCCCCGGGCUCAACCUGGGAACUGCGUUUGAUACUGGCGAGCUAGAGUUCGGGAGAGGGUAGUGGAAUUCCCAGUGUAGAGGUGAAAUUCGUAGAUAUUGGGAAGAACACCAGUGGCGAAGGCGGCUACCUGGACCGAUACUGACGCUGAGGAGCGAAAGCGUGGGGAGCAAACAGGAUUAGAUA